CACGUAGGGUGCGAGCGUUGUCCGGAAUUAUUGGGCGUAAAGAGCUCGUAGGCGGUGUGUCGCGUCGGCCGUGAAAACCUGCGGCUCAACUGCAGGCUGGCGGUCGAUACGGGCAGGCUGGAGUUCGGUAGGGGAGACUGGAAUUCCUGGUGUAGCGGUGAAAUGCGCAGAUAUCGGGAAGAACACCCGUGGCGAAGGCGGUUCUCUGGGACGGUACUGACGCUGAGACGCGAAAGCGUGGGGAGCGAACAGG
rnacentral:rRNA from 1 species